rnacentral:tRNA from 1 species
GCAGGAGUGGUGGAAUUGGUAGACACGUAAGACUAAGGAUCUUAUGCCUAUUGUUGGUGUGGGGGUUCGAGUCCCCCCUUCUGCACCA